AGUGAGAUGAGAGAAUAAAAAUGAAAGAGUCUCAAUGGUGAAAAACCCUCACAGACACCAUAAGACAAUGGUGAACUGAGAAAAAGAAAACGAGAGAGGCUUAUUGGCGAAAGCCCUUCAAGGUAUCACUAGCUGAAUAAGGUCUUAAAUGCAAUUGACCUAAGGAAACAACUCAGUUUCAAGGUCAUUAACUCAACAACAAUUGGUAGAAAGUUUGGAUGGAAAGAUCAG
rnacentral:lncRNA from 1 species